UGGGGAAUAUUGCACAAUGGGGGAAACCCUGAUGCAGCAACGCCGCGUGAGUGAAGAAGUAUUUCGGUAUGUAAAGCUCUAUCAGCAGGGAAGAAAAUGACGGUACCUGACUAAGAAGCACCGGCUAAAUACGUGCCAGCAGCCGCGGUAAUACGUAUGGUGCAAGCGUUAUCCGGAUUUACUGGGUGUAAAGGGAGCGCAGGCGGUGCGGCAAGUCAGAUGUGAAAACCCGGGGCUCAACCCCGGGACUGCAUUUGAAACUGUCGGACUAGAGUGUCGGAGAGGCAAGUGGAAUUCCUAGUGUAGCGGUGAAAUGCGUAGAUAUUAGGAGGAACACCAGUGGCGAAGGCGGCUUGCUGGACGAUAACUGACGCUGAGGCUCGAAAGCGUGGGGAGCAAACAGG
rnacentral:rRNA from 1 species